CUCUGCCCCAGGAGAGGCAGGGUACCAUCCAAAAGUACCAAACUCAGGUACUUUGCACAGCACCCACUCCGCCCAGAGGAUGCUCAAUGGUCCUUGACAAAGCGUGCUAGAGGUGCACUUGGGCCUCAGAGUGUCGCCCCCUCCUUCAGGAUCCUCCAGCCAGUCUCAAGAAUUUCCAGUAUCCUUUUAAAAUUAUUAUUCUCUCUCCGGGAGCAACAUGAUACAAAUUACAGUUGACUUAGUACAAAGCAACACAGCGUAGCAGAGCGCCCCAAAGAAAGCGAUGGAGAACCCGCACUACUAUCUCGCUCCUUAAACUUGGGCAGCUCACUUCCCCCUUCCCGGCCUCAGUUUCUCCAUUCAUUAAAGAAACAGGAUUGUACUAGAUCACGUCCCCCCAAAUCCUGAGCCUCAUCCCUCACCAAUUCAAGAAAAG
ensembl:lncRNA